rnacentral:lncRNA from 1 species
GGCCCCGGCCCCGGCUGCGAGCUGCGCUGCCGUCCCGGCGCCUCUUCAGCAGGGGAGCUGCACCGCAGCUGCCAUGUUGAUACAAACUGCAUCCUGGGAGGCAUGUCCCUCUCAGGCCGUUUAAAGAGAAACACUCCGAGGCUCGUCGGAGGCUGCAGGAACCCAGACAGCUCCAUCUACAGCCGGUAGGAGCGAACAGUGUCGAGCGAGCCGCCGGGCGGCGACGGACACGCCCUGAGCCCGGGCCGGCCCGUCGUGGAGCCCGGGCCGAACCGCGCGGCCCAAACUGCAUCCUGGGAGGCAUGUCCCUCUCAGGCCGUUUAAAGAGAAACACUCCGAGGCUCGUCGGAGGCUGCAGGAACCCAGACAGCUCCAUCUACAGCCGGUAGGAGCGAACAGUGUCGAGCGAGCCGCCGGGCGGCGACGGACACGCCCUGAGCCCGGGCCGGCCCGUCGUGGAGCCCGGGCCGAACCGCGCGGCCCCNUUGGCUCCGACAGCCUUCCUCCCGCCGGAUCCCCCUGCUCGUCUCAAACCCAGAACCCGGGCCGUUCCCUUUCAAAACCUGCGCUCACAAAGGGAUCUCAGAGGCCCGGCGCACCAAAGGAAGCCCGAGUUCAUGUGACCAGCUCCGUGCAGCCCGGGUUCCAGGGAAGGGGCUGUGGUUCCAAGGGUGGCAAGGGGGUUGGGUGCUUUUGUCAAAUGCCCGAGUGUUGUUUUCGACACGAAAGGACACAGUUCCGAGCAUCAGGGGGAGCUAGGGCUGGAAGGGGCCGACCCGUCGUUUGGGAGGAAACUGAGGCCGAGUGGGAGAGAGACGAAGUUGCGGUGCCAGUCCCUGGUAGGAAUGCUCUGGCUCACCUUGGGAGAGCGCGCAACAGAAAUGAUUGUUUUGGGCCAUUCGGGAUGCCUUGAACUUCCAUUUGAACUUUAGGAUCAGCUUGUGAAUUUCUACAACUAAGCCAGCUAGAAUUUUGAUGGGGUCCAGAAAUCAACUAAUCUGCUAAUACUCCUCGAAGAAGUACCCAGAUGGAUGAAUAUAUUAUCAUUCUUUUUCAGAUGAAUGUAAGAUAAGAAAUUCAGUAUUAAUUCUGGAUUUUCUUAAUACCAAAGUAAAACGAAAGACUCCAACCACCUGAGUAGUUAACUUAUUUGAAUUUAUUUUCCUUUGUCUUCUGGUAUAUGUGAAAAGUGGAAGAAUAAAAAUAUACCUUCCAUUUGACA